AGCCGGUGGAAACAAGUAUAC
rnacentral:siRNA from 1 species